rnacentral:rRNA from 1 species
AGCGUACACGGUGGAUGCCCUGGCAGUCAGAGGCGAUGAAGGACGUGCUAAUCUGCGAAAAGCGUCGGUAAGGUGAUAUGAACCGUUAUAACCGGCGAUGUCCGAAUGGGGAAACCCAGUGCAAUUCGUUGCACUAUCGUUAACUGAAUACAUAGGUUAACGAGGCGAACCGGGGGAACUGAAACAUCUAAGUACCCCGAGGAAAAGAAAUCAACCGAGAUUCCCCCAGUAGCGGCGAGCGAACGGGGAGCAGCCCAGAGUCUGAAUCAGCUUGUGUGUUAGUGGAACGGUCUGGAAAGUCCGACGGUACAGGGUGAUAGUCCCGUACACCAAAAUGCACAGGCUGUGAACUCGAAGAGUAGGGCGGGACACGUGGUAUCCUGUCUGAAUAUGGGGGGACCAUCCUCCAAGGCUAAAUACUCCUGACUGACCGAUAGUGAACCAGUACCGUGAGGGAAAGGCGAAAAGAACCCCGGCGAGGGGAGUGAAAAAGAACCUGAAACCGUGUACGUACAAGCAGUGGGAGCACCUUCGGGUGUGACUGCGUACCUUUUGUAUAAUGGGUCAGCGACUUAUAUUCUGUAGCAAGGUUAACCGUAUAGGGGAGCCGCAGGGAAACCGAGUCUUAACUGGGCGUUAAGUUGCAGGGUAUAGACCCGAAACCCGGUGAUCUAGCCAUGGGCAGGUUGAAGGUUGGGUAACACUAACUGGAGGACCGAACCGACUAAUGUUGAAAAAUUAGCGGAUGACUUGUGGCUGGGGGUGAAAGGCCAAUCAAACCGGGAGAUAGCUGGUUCUCCCCGAAAGCUAUUUAGGUAGCGCCUCGUGAACUCAUCUUCGGGGGUAGAGCACUGUUUCGGCUAGGGGGUCAUCCCGACUUACCAACCCGAUGCAAACUACGAAUACCGAAGAAUGUUAUCACGGGAGACACACGGCGGGUGCUAACGUCCGUCGUGAAGAGGGAAACAACCCAGACCGCCAGCUAAGGUCCCAAAGUCAUGGUUAAGUGGGAAACGAUGUGGGAAGGCACAGACAGCCAGGAUGUUGGCUUAGAAGCAGCCAUCAUUUAAAGAAAGCGUAAUAGCUCACUGGUCGAGUCGGCCUGCGCGGAAGAUGUAACGGGGCUAAACCAUGCACCGAAGCUGCGGCAGCGACACUAUGUGUUGUUGGGUAGGGGAGCGUUCUGUAAGCCUGCGAAGGUGUGCUGUGAGGCAUGCUGGAGGUAUCAGAAGUGCGAAUGCUGACAUAAGUAACGAUAAAGCGGGUGAAAAGCCCGCUCGCCGGAAGACCAAGGGUUCCUGUCCAACGUUAAUCGGGGCAGGGUGAGUCGACCCCUAAGGCGAGGCCGAAAGGCGUAGUCGAUGGGAAACAGGUUAAUAUUCCUGUACUUGGUGUUACUGCGAAGGGGGGACGGAGAAGGCUAUGUUAGCCGGGCGACGGUUGUCCCGGUUUAAGCAUGUAGGCUGGUUAUCCAGGCAAAUCCGGAUAAUCAAGGCUGAGGUGUGAUGACGAGGCACUACGGUGCUGAAGUAACAAAUGCCCUGCUUCCAGGAAAAGCCUCUAAGCAUCAGGUAACAUCAAAUCGUACCCCAAACCGACACAGGUGGUCAGGUAGAGAAUACCAAGGCGCUUGAGAGAACUCGGGUGAAGGAACUAGGCAAAAUGGUGCCGUAACUUCGGGAGAAGGCACGCUGGUGUGUAGGUGAAGUCCCUGCGGAUGGAGCUGAGACCAGUCGAAGAUACCAGCUGGCUGCAACUGUUUAUUAAAAACACAGCACUGUGCAAACACGAAAGUGGACGUAUACGGUGUGACGCCUGCCCGGUGCCGGAAGGUUAAUUGAUGGGGUUAUCCGUAAGGAGAAGCUCUUGAUCGAAGCCCCGGUAAACGGCGGCCGUAACUAUAACGGUCCUAAGGUAGCGAAAUUCCUUGUCGGGUAAGUUCCGACCUGCACGAAUGGCGUAAUGAUGGCCAGGCUGUCUCCACCCGAGACUCAGUGAAAUUGAACUCGCUGUGAAGAUGCAGUGUACCCGCGGCAAGACGGAAAGACCCCGUGAACCUUUACUAUAGCUUGACACUGAACAUUGAGCCUUGAUGUGUAGGAUAGGUGGGAGGCUUUGAAGCGUGGACGCCAGUCUGCGUGGAGCCAACCUUGAAAUACCACCCUUUAAUGUUUGAUGUUCUAACGUUGGCCCCUGACCGGGGUUGCGGACAGUGUCUGGUGGGUAGUUUGACUGGGGCGGUCUCCUCCCAAAGCGUAACGGAGGAGCACGAAGGUUAGCUAAUCCUGGUCGGACAUCAGGAGGUUAGUGCAAUGGCAUAAGCUAGCUUGACUGCGAGCGUGACGGCGCGAGCAGGUGCGAAAGCAGGUCAUAGUGAUCCGGUGGUUCUGA